UUAGCUCAGUCGGUAGAGCAACGGACUGUUAAUCCGGCGGUCGUAGGUUCAAGUCCUACA
rnacentral:tRNA from 1 species